rnacentral:lncRNA from 1 species
AGAUAGAGAAUUUCAUGCGUACUUACCCCACUGUUUGUAUGUUUUAUUUUGUUUUGUUUUUUGUCUUGAGUCAGGGUCUUGCUAUGGAAUGCAGACUGGCCUUGAAUUCACUUAUGUAACCCAGACUGGCCUCCAAAGCACAGUGAUCCUCCUGCCUCAGCUCUCCAAGUGCUGGGACUAUAGGCAUUCACCACCACACAUUCAUCUGUAAACUCAGCAUCCUAGAUUUCCAAGCAAAAAGCUCCUCCCUGGAAUCUGAACCUAUUUACAAUUCCCAUGCAGAAGGGAUUAUUCUUGGUGUUGGCUGUCAUUGCAGAUGCGGAGACAGACAAAGAAAAUAUUUCUCCUUCCCCUGGAACAGUUAACUGUGGAGUUGCUCAAGGCUCCAGUUGCUGCUUUAGUUGCUUCCACAGUAAGUGAAGGAGGUCAUAAUCAAGAGGAGGUGCUGAGGAAGAGAAAGAAGACCCUAACCCAGCUCAGAACCCC